ACAGCCGUAUCAUUUUGAGACAUCAGUUCUUGUCUGAUCACUGAAGUUAAGCAAUGUUGAACCUGGUCAGUACCUAGAUGGGUGACCAUGUGGGAAUACCAGGUUCUGUAAG